rnacentral:sRNA from 1 species
CUAGAGUUCCCCUGAGCACUUCAUUGGGAGCCCUUAAUAUACUUUUGUCUUCCAACUGAAGUGUUUGGGGGAACUCCUGGU